rnacentral:rRNA from 1 species
AUUGAACGCUGGCGGCAGGCCUAACACAUGCAAGUCGAACGAGUGGCGGACGGGUGAGUAAUGUCUGGGAAACUGCCUGAUGGAGGGGGAUAACUACUGGAAACGGUAGCUAAUACCGCAUACCAUCAGAUGUGCCCAGAUGGGAUUAGCUAGUUGGUGGGGUAACGGCUCACCAAGGAGACGAUCCAUAGCUGGUCUGAGAGGAUGACAAGCCACAGUGGAACUUAGACACGGUCCGGACUCCUACGGGAGGCAGCAGGGGGGAAUCUUGGACAAUGUGCGCAAGCCUGAUGCAGCCAUGCCGCGUGUAUGAAGGAGGCCUUCGGGUUGUAAAGGACUUUCAGCGAGGAGGCGUUACCCGCAGAAGAAGCUCCGGCUAACUCCGUGCCAGCAGCCGCGGUAAUUC